UUUCCUACUGCGGUCUACUUCAUGCAGUCACCCAAGACGGACUUUUCUCGGAGAAUAAGAAAGACUUAUCAUUAAUGCCAUCACAAUGCUCAUUGCUCACGAAGGAGACCAAAACAAAAUAUGAGAUAAAGAUCUCGAAGCACUGUUUAACGAUUUGAGAAGUUGGGUUCGAUCCAAAGCAGUUUUCGCGCU